rnacentral:ncRNA from 1 species
UCAUAGGUGUCCGGGAGCUUAGGGAACUUUGCUGAGAGGAAAGCCAUUCCGCUUUCGACCGGUGAUCUGAUCUGGAUAAUGCCAGCGGAGACAAUUCGCCAUGUUGUAAA